rnacentral:rRNA from 1 species
UACGUAGGGGGCAAGCGUUGUCCGGAUUUAUUGGGCGUAAAGAGCGUGUAGGCGGCCUGAAAGGUCAGCUGUGAAAACUCGAGGCUCAACCUCGAGACGUCGGUUGAAACCAUCUGGCUAGAGUCCGGAAGAGGAGUGUGGAAUUCCCGGUGUAGCGGUGAAAUGCGCAGAUAUCGGGAAGAGCACCCGUGGCGAAGGCGGCACUCUGGGACGGUACUGACGCUGAGACGCGAAAGCGUGGGGAGCGAACAGG